GACUCUGUAGCUCAAGUGGCAAAGCACUGGUCUUGCAAACCAGGGGUCGUGAGUUCGAUCCUCACAGGAUACA
rnacentral:tRNA from 1 species